CACUACAGCCCAUGUGGCGCACUCACUAACUGGAAAUGGAAUUCUGGAAGCGGCGGCUACAGGGUAAUACGGUAUAAAUGAAACCCCGAUCGCAAGAGUGAGUUCCGUUUCGCUCCAUUUACAAUAAAACAACUUUGGAGGAAGCAUAUAGAGGGCAUAUUCGCUGGGAUUUCCAAUCAUGUCUUAUUCGGCAAUGCAAUUCUAAUCUAGAGCUCGUGGAGGAUAUUGGGGUUAAGAAAUCAGUCAAUUUGUAGGAUGUAUGCAGAUAGAAGAGGUAUUUGAUAGAUAACGCUGGUGGACGAUGCUAUCCUUUCGCAAAAUUGCAGCAUUGAGGGUUAUCGCAUGUGGUUAAAAAAUUAUAUAUCAAAAUAAAACAGAGAAAGUAACGACCAAAAGUUGAAAUGACGGCAAAGAAUGAACAAAUGCAAAAUAUAUCAAUCACAAUGCGCCACAGCAGUCUAUUGCAGCAAGCAGGAAUAUAAAACAAUAGGAAUCUAAAUCAUGCCA
rnacentral:sRNA from 1 species